CGGGGCGUAGCUUAGAUGGUGCAGAGCACUCGGUUCGGGACCGUGAGAUCACUGGUUCAAAUCCAGUCGCCCCGA
rnacentral:tRNA from 1 species